GUACGACGUGUGAGCCCCAGUGAGCACUGUUUGGUGCUUACUGACACAUCUGAACAUUGAAGAACAUUUUAUGUAAUGUCAGUAGUGAUUGCUAUGUGCCACAGGAAAAACUAUAUUUUGCUGGCUGCUAUCAAUCCUUACAGUGUUCUUAUGUUCUUGAGUAUCUUCCCGGAGAGAGAAUGAGCAGCAAUGAGAGCAGAAGAGUGUUGCAGUAGCAGAUAUGGACCUUGAAUAUGAAUUUGAAGGAAAAAGAUGCCAAUGCUGUGAUUCAGCACAAGUGAGAAAACAAAAGCAAAAACAACAACA